ACAUUUGAAAACUGUUUACAACACUGUUUUAGACAUUCCAAAUGGAUAACGUUACCUUUCAUCUGUUUGUUUGCUCAGAAGCUAUUCACAGUGGCCUCUCCCCAAGUGGCAAAGCUUUGUCACCAAGUGCGACUGUAGUCAACAACACUGAUUUAACACCACCUAUUGUUGCAAAGUGUACCCAGCCCAAACUCAUUGCUACUUUGGCUGUGUGGAAGAGGACAGUGCUUCAGCAAGUUGUAGCGACAUUACAGGUACAGAGGUCGGGGCUGAACUGUUUUCUAUAGAAAGAAGGUGAAAUGUUUGUCACAGUGCAGUUUGGAGAAGCCCAAGCUGAAGUGUUUAACCUGAACUGCAAGAUGAUAAACUUCAUCCAGAAUUUGAAAGAGAGGUGUGAUCUGGAUCCUCAAGACUGUGUGGACCUGAUGGACAGGACAGGGGAGCUUAUACAGCUCAGUGACAAGGAGCAGAGCAUGGAGCGGGCCAGCAGUCUGAUGAAGGAGAGGAACAGCUACAUCCUCAUACGUAUCUGCAGUGAGUCUCCACAAAUAUGAUGAGAGGUAACGGGACUGAUGGGCCAAAGUAUGUGCCACUCCUAAAUAACCUGGGAAAGAGCAAUCCUGAGUUAGCAGAGAUCCUGAAGAAGCUAUCCAACCCCUGUAAAGAGUGGGACAGAAAGGGUGUUCCCUCAAGGAAAGUGUCUGUCAGCCUAACCCAGAGCAAGGCAUCUGCUGGAAACAAGAAGAGCCAUUCUGGAAAACUUUGACUAUUUUAACUUUGACUAUACAGGUCAAAAUGCUGGUCAUAUAAUUAAAAUAUCAUCAAGUUGAU